AGAGUUUGAUCAUGGCUCAGAUUGAACGCUGGCGGCAGGCCUAACACAUGCAAGUCGAACGGUAACAGGAAAAAGCUUGCUUUUUUGCUGACGAGUGGCGGACGGGUGAGUAAUGUCUGGGAAACUGCCUGAUGGAGGGGGAUAACUACUGGAAACGGUAGCUAAUACCGCAUAACGUCGCAAGACCAAAGAGGGGGACCUUCGGGCCUCUUGCCAUCGGAUGUGCCCAGAUGGGAUUAGCUUGUUGGUGGGGUAACGGCUCACCAAGGCGACGAUCCCUAGCUGGUCUGAGAGGAUGACCAGCCACACUGGAACUGAGACACGGUCCAGACUCCUACGGGAGGCAGCAGUGGGGAAUAUUGCACAAUGGGCGCAAGCCUGAUGCAGCCAUGCCGCGUGUAUGAAGAAGGCCUUCGGGUUGUAAAGUACUUUCAGCGGGGAGGAAGGGAGUAAAGUUAAUACCUUUGCUCAUUGACGUUACCCGCAGAAGAAGCACCGGCUAACUCCGUGCCAGCAGCCGCGGUAAUACGGAGGGUGCAAGCGUUAAUCGGAAUUACUGGGCGUAAAGCGCACGCAGGCGGUUUGUUAAGUCAGAUGUGAAAUCCCCGGGCUCAACCUGGGAACUGCAUCUGAUACUGGCAAGCUUGAGUCUCGUAGAGGGGGGUAGAAUUCCAGGUGUAGCGGUGAAAUGCGUAGAGAUCUGGAGGAAUACCGGUGGCGAAGGCGGCCCCCUGGACGAAGACUGACGCUCAGGUGCGAAAGCGUGGGGAGCAAACAGGAUUAGAUACCCUGGUAGUCCACGCCGUAAACGAUGUCGACUUGGAGGUUGUGCCCUUGAGGCGUGGCUUCCGGAGCUAACGCGUUAAGUCGACCGCCUGGGGAGUACGGCCGCAAGGUUAAAACUCAAAUGAAUUGACGGGGGCCCGCACAAGCGGUGGAGCAUGUGGUUUAAUUCGAUGCAACGCGAAGAACCUUACCUGGUCUUGACAUCCACAGAACUUUCCAGAGAUGGAUUGGUGCCUUCGGGAACUGUGAGACAGGUGCUGCAUGGCUGUCGUCAGCUCGUGUUGUGAAAUGUUGGGUUAAGUCCCGCAACGAGCGCAACCCUUAUCCUUUGUUGCCAGCGGUCCGGCCGGGAACUCAAAGGAGACUGCCAGUGAUAAACUGGAGGAAGGUGGGGAUGACGUCAAGUCAUCAUGGCCCUUACGACCAGGGCUACACACGUGCUACAAUGGCGCAUACAAAGAGAAGCGACCUCGCGAGAGCAAGCGGACCUCAUAAAGUGCGUCGUAGUCCGGAUUGGAGUCUGCAACUCGACUCCAUGAAGUCGGAAUCGCUAGUAAUCGUGGAUCAGAAUGCCACGGUGAAUACGUUCCCGGGCCUUGUACACACCGCCCGUCACACCAUGGGAGUGGGUUGCAAAAGAAGUAGGUAGCUUAACCUUCGGGAGGGCGCUUACCACUUUGUGAUUCAUGACUGGGGUGAAGUCGUAACAAGGUAACCGUAGGGGAACCUGCGGUUG
rnacentral:rRNA from 1 species